ACGGGAGGCAGCAGUGGGGGAUAUUGCACAAUGAGGGAAACCCUGAUGCAGCGACGCCGCGUGAGUGAAGAAGUAUUUCGGUAUGUAAAGCUCUAUCAGCAGGAAAGAUAAUGACGGUACCUGACUAAGAAGCACCGGCUAAAUACGUGCCAGCAGCCGCGGUAAUACGUAGGGGGCAAGCGUUGUCCGGAAUGACUGGGCGUAAAGGGCGUGUAGGCGGCUUUUUAAGUCUGAAGUGAAAGUCCUGCUUUCAAGGUGGGAACUGCUUUGGAGACUGGAAGGCUUGAGUGCGGAAGAGGUAAGUGGAAUUCCCAGUGUAGCGGUGAAAUGCGUAGAGAUUGGGAGGAACACCAGUGGCGAAGGCGACUUACUGGGCCGUAACUGACGCUGAAGCGCGAAAGCGUGGGUAGCAAACAGGAUUAGAUACCCUGGUA
rnacentral:rRNA from 1 species